rnacentral:rRNA from 1 species
UACGGGGGGAGCAAGCGUUGUUCGGAUUUACUGGGCGUAAAGGGCGCGUAGGCGGCCACCGCAAGUCGACUGUGAAAUCUCCGGGCUUAACCCGGAAAGGUCAGCCGAUACUGCGGGGCUAGAGUGCAGAAGGGGCAACUGGAAUUCUCGGUGUAGCGGUGAAAUGCGUAGAUAUCGGGAAGAACACCAAUGGCGAAGGCAGCUCUCUGGGACGGUACUGGCGCUGAGACGCGAAAGCGUGGGGAGCGAACAGG